rnacentral:tRNA from 1 species
GCCUUCGUGGUGUAGUGGCCAGCACGCUUGACGCGUAACCGAGAGGUCCGUGGUUCGAUUCCGCCGAAGGCU